rnacentral:rRNA from 1 species
AGAAAAUAGAUACCCGGGUAGUCCAUGCUGUAAACGAUGAGAACUAGAUGUUAGGGGGCAUGACCUCUUAAGUAUCGAAAGCUAACGCGAUAAGUUCUCCACCUGGGGAGUACGGCCGCAAGGUUAAAACUCAAAGAAAUUGACGGGGGCCCGCACAAGCGGUGGAGCAUGUGGUUUAAAUUCGAUGCAACGCGAAGAACCUUACCUACCUUUGAAUCCACGGAACCUAGCAGAGAUGUUGGGGUGCCUUCGGGAACCGUGAGACAGGUGCUGCAUGGCUGUCGUCAGCUCGUGUCGUGAGAUGUUGGGUUAAGUCCCGUAACGAGCGCAACCCUUGUCCUUAGUUGCCAUCAGGUUAUGCUGGGCACUUUGAGGAGACUGCCGGUGAUAAACCGGAGGAAGGUGGGGAUGACGUCAAGUCCUCAUGGCCCUUACAGGUAGGGCUACACACGUGCUACAAUGGGCAGUACAGAGGGAAGCCAACCCGCGAGGGGAGCGAAUCUCAUAAAGCUGUUCGUAGUCCGGAUUGGAGUCCGCAACUCGACUCC